ACUAAUCGAACCAUCUAGUAGCUGGUUCCCUCCGAAAUUUCCCUUAGGAUAGCUGCAAUCGGUUAUCAGUUUUAUCAGGUAAAGCGAAUGAUUAGAGGCCUCAGGGGUGGAACGUCCUUGACCUAUUCUCAAACUUUAAAUGGGUAAGAGCCCAGUGUUGCUUAAUCGAACACUGGCGUUGAAUGACGGUUGUUAGUGGGCCAUUCUGGGUAAGCUGGACUGGCGAUGCGGGAUGAACCGAACGUUGAGUUAAAGUGCCUCACUGCCCGCUCACCUAGAUCCCACAAACGGUGUUGGUUCAUUUUGACAGCAGGACGGUGGCCAUGGAAGUCGGAACCCGCUAAGG
rnacentral:rRNA from 1 species